rnacentral:lncRNA from 1 species
AUGUCCUUGCAAGGUACUUGUCUAAGUGCACGUGGAUGUGGGAAGGAAGGAGGUUCCUGUUUGCAAGGAAAAUGUUUUGCAGUAAUUGCUGUCAGAGAAUUAAUCCAUCUUGAGUUGGAAAUGUCUCUUGAAGAUACAUGCUUCUUCCCAUUACAGCCUGGUCAAAUGGCAGCCUGUUCCUUUGAGGAUUCUUUUGAAGAUUCUAAGCUAGCUGAAGGCAGGCACAUUCUUCUACUUGGAGUCUUCAGAUGUGAGCCUCUUCUGUGUCUCUGA